rnacentral:rRNA from 1 species
AGAGCGAACGCUGGCGGCAGGCCUAACACAUGCAAGUCGAACGAACUCUUCGGAGUUAGUGGCGGACGGGUGAGUAACACGUGGGAACGUGCCUUUUGGUUCGGAAUAACUCAGGGAAACUUGUGCUAAUACCGAAUGUGCCCUUCGGGGGAAAGAUUUAUCGCCAUUAGAGCGGCCCGCGUCUGAUUAGCUAGUUGGUGAGGU